rnacentral:rRNA from 1 species
CCUACGGGUGGCAGCAGUGAGGAAUAUUGGUCAAUGGACGAGAGUCUGAACCAGCCAAGUAGCGUGAAGGAUGUCUGCCCCAUGGGUUGUAACCUUCUUUUAUAUGGGAAUAAAAUGAUCCACGUGUGGGAUUUUGUAUGUACCAUAUGAAUAAGGAUAGGCUAACUCCGUGCCAGCAGCCGCGGUAAUACGGAGGAUCCGAGCGUUAUCCGGAUUUAUUGGGUUUAAAGGGAGCGUAGGUUGAGUGUUAAGUCAGUUGUGAAAGUUCGGGGCUCAACCGUAAAAUUGCAGUUGAAACUGGCAGGCUUGAGUACAGUAGAGGCGGGCGGAAUUCGUGGUGUAGCGGUGAAAUGCUUAGAUAUCACGAAGAACUCCGAUUGCGAAGGCAGCUCACUGGACUGCAACUGACACUGAGGCUCGAAAGUGUGGGUAUCAAACAGGAUUAGAUACCCGUGUAGUC